UGGGGAAUAUUGCACAAUGGGGGAAACCCUGAUGCAGCAACGCCGCGUGAGUGAUGACGGCCUUCGGGUUGUAAAGCUCUGUCUUCAGGGACGAUAAUGACGGUACCUGAGGAGGAAGCCACGGCUAACUACGUGCCAGCAGCCGCGGUAAUACGUAGGUGGCGAGCGUUGUCCGGAUUUACUGGGCGUAAAGGGAGCGUAGGCGGACUUUUAAGUGAGAUGUGAAAUACUCGGGCUCAACUUGAGUGCUGCAUUUCAAACUGGAAGUCUAGAGUGCAGGAGAGGAGAAUGGAAUUCCUAGUGUAGCGGUGAAAUGCGUAGAGAUUAGGAAGAACACCAGUGGCGAAGGCGAUUCUCUGGAAUGUAACUGACGCUGAGGCUCGAAAGCGUGGGGAGCAAACAGG
rnacentral:rRNA from 1 species